rnacentral:lncRNA from 1 species
GUUAAUUUCGAGACAUUUUAAAUGUUUAAUACAUUUUUUUUUUUGUCAACAGAUGACGCCACUUUCCAUUCUAUUAGAAUACUAAGUGACGGGGCGAAACAAGCCCUUCCACAGGCUGCCCACCCUGAGGAGGGGUCAGCCGGAUUGUGGAGGACUGGGAUCGACGGGCCGGGCCCGGACCCCAUGGUAAAUAUUUUCAAGGGGUGGGACCCGAGACUCGAACCCGGGUCCUCCAAAGUGGAAAGCCGAAGCGUUUCCACGCGGCCAAUACAGACAUUAUCGACUGAUCAAUACUAUCUAUUUUUGUUUUAU